CGCUCAUCCAGAGGGGCAGAGGGACACGGCCCGUUGAAGCCCCGGCAACCCUCCAGUCGGUUUCUCGCGAUGCGAUACGCAUCCCGCGGGGUCCCCGGCUAGGGAAGGUGCCAAUUCCGUCUCAUGGCGAAGUGCGCCAUGGGGAAGAUGAGGA
rnacentral:ncRNA from 1 species